rnacentral:tRNA from 1 species
GGAGAGGUGACAGAGUGGUCGAAUGUGCUCGCCUGGAAAGCGAGUGUGUCGCAAGACACCGCAGGUUCGAAUCCUGUCCUCUCCG